GAUGAACGCUGGCGGCGUGCCUAAUACAUGCAAGUCGAGCGAACGGACGAGAAGCUUGCUUCUCUGAUGUUAGCGGCGGACGGGUGAGUAACACGUGGAUAACCUACCUAUAAGACUGGGAUAACUUCGGGAAACCGGAGCUAAUCCCGGAUAAUAUUUUGAACCGCAUGGUUCAAAAGUGAAAGACGGUCUUGCUGUCACUUAUAGCUGGAUCCGCGCUGCAUUAGCUAGUUGGUAAGGUAACGGCUUACCAAGGCAACGAUGCAUAGCCGACCUGAGAGGGUGAUCGGCCACACUGGAACUGAGACACGGUCCAGACUCCUACGGGAGGCAGCAGUAGGGAAUCUUCCGCAAUGGGCGAAAGCCUGACGGAGCAACGCCGCGUGAGUGAUGAAGGUCUUCGGAUCGUAAAACUCUGUUAUUAGGGAAGAACAUAUGUGUAAGUAACUGUGCACAUCUUGACGGUACCUAAUCAGAAAGCCACGGCUAACUACGUG
rnacentral:rRNA from 1 species